CGACGAUAUGUUUUUCGUCGGCUAAACUCUAGGACUAUAGCCGACGAAUAUCUUAAAUGUUUCGUCGGCUAAAGUCUGGGAAGAAAACCGACGACAUGUUUUUCGUCAGCUAAACUCCGGGACUAUAGCUGACGACUUCUUCUUGUGUCGUUGGCUAAAGUCACCACAGACGACAUUUUCCCAACAAAAUCUUAGCCGACGAGCUAAGAUCUUAGCCGACGAAUUAAGCUAACAGGCCGACGAAAAUUUUUUGUCGGCUAAAGUGCUUGUCCUGGUAGUGAAUUAAAUGCAUGCAAUGGUUUUAUAUUUAAUUAUUGAUUUUAUUUUAUUGAAUUAUUUUGGUGGAAUUGGUUUUCCUCUCGUGAGUUAUAAUGUGCGUAGUUACUUUCGGAGGUAAAUGUUCUUAUUAUAUUUUGUUAACUUCGUCAUUUGAAGAAUUACCGAAAAUGGGAAUUUCGGUGAAGUCGUAUAUAUAUUGUUUUCUUUUAUAUUUGGCGAUUUUCUUUAAUUUGGAGAGAUACUGAUAAUGAGAUUUUCGGUGGACAUAUAUAUAUAUUUAUAUAUAUAUAUAUAUAUUUAUGAGAGAAGUAUGUAUAUAAAUGUUGGCUAGCCAUACAUGACUUUCCACCAUAAUGGUGUAGCAAUUAGCCGCCAUUAUGCUGUAACGUGAGCGUGGGACGCAAGCGUCAUAGCUCUAUAUGAAUGUAGGAAUUCAUAUAGGGGGUAUUCAGCACGUAUAUACACCCGUCUUUUCUGUCAUAAUGAUGUAACGAUUACACCCCUCUAUUAUGGUGUAACGUGAGCAUAGAACGCAAACUAGCAGCCCUGCAUGAAUUCUUAAAUUCACAAGAAUUCAUACAAGGAGUAUGACGUGUGUAAAUACAUACUUAUAUACUAGAGCCUGGGAGGCUCAAUAUCAUAAAGUAUUAGAGACUAGAGGGGCUAAUCAUGUAUCUCGGUAUUUGCCAAAUUCUAAGUUAAAAGUUUUAAUACGUGUUGCGUGCAUCACUCUUUUCUUUAAGAGAUUAAAAUGGGAAAGCAUAAAGUAUUAAUGUAAUUAUUUGAUUGUCAUAACCUUACUUUUGUCCACUUACUCUAACAUUUUUAAAUGUUUUGUCAUGGGCCCUUCGUUUUCAAAUGCCCAGUUUAUAGGAUAGACUAGCUGAGGUCGAGCGUACACAUAGUCAUUUUAUAGCUUCUGCUUAAUUGUAAACUUCUAUUCUAUUUCCUCGUUAUUAAAAUUGCUCUGAAACAAUGAGAUGUUGGGUGUGAAUCACCCUUAGUUUAUUUAAGGAGAAAUUACUGGUCACUCCAUUAACUUUCAUUCAUUCGACAGUUUACUCUAUUAACUUUUAAUUUCAAUCGAUUACUCCAUUAACUAUCCAAUGUCACAUAAUUAGGUCCAUCCGUUAACUAGCCAUCCAAAUCAGUGGUUAAGUUGCUGACUGGACAUAUUUUUCAACUGGAAAUUCCAUUUACACCCCCACAUCUCUCUCUCUC
rnacentral:lncRNA from 1 species